UACGGAGGGUGCAAGCGUUAUCCGGAUUCACUGGGUUUAAAGGGUGCGUAGGUGGGUCUGUAAGUCCGUGGUGAAAUCUCCGAGCUUAACUUGGAAACUGCCAUGGAUACUAUAGGUCUUGAAUACUGUGGAGGUGAGCGGAAUAUGUCAUGUAGCGGUGAAAUGCUUAGAUAUGACAUAGAACACCAAUUGCGAAGGCAGCUCACUACACAAUCAUUGACGCUGAGGCACGAAAGCGUGGGGAUCAAACAGG
rnacentral:rRNA from 1 species